rnacentral:rRNA from 1 species
UACGUAGGGGGCAAGCGUUGUCCGGAAUCAUUGGGCGUAAAGCGCGCGUAGGCGGCUCGAUCAGUCUGCUGUGAAAGUCAAAGGCUCAACCUUUGAAAGCCGGUGGAUACUGUCGAGCUAGAGUCCGGAAGAGGCGAGUGGAAUUCCUGGUGUAGCGGUGGAAUGCGCAGAUAUCAGGAGGAACACCAACGGCGAAGGCAGCUCGCUGGGACGGUACUGACGCUAAGGCGCGAAAGCGUGGGAGCGAACAGG